GGGGACAACAUUCGGAAACGGAUGCUAAUACCCCAUAGGUGGAUUGGUCGCAUGACGAAUUCAUUAAAGGUGGCUUUGCUACCACUCAUGGAUAGCCUCGCGGCGUAUUAGCUAGUUGGUAAGGUAAUGGCUUACCAAGGCAGUGAUACGUAGCCGACUUGAGAGGGUGAUCGGCCACACUGGGACUGAGACACGGCCCAG
rnacentral:rRNA from 1 species